UACGUAGGGGGCAAGCGUUGUCCGGAUUUAUUGGGCGUAAAGAGCUCGUAGGCGGUUUGGUAAGUCUGGUGUGAAAUCUCCACGCUCAACGUGGAGGGGCCACCCGAUACUGCCAUGACUGGAGUCCGGUAGAGGAGUGUGGAAUUCCCGGUGUAGCGGUGAAAUGCGCAGAUAUCAGGAGGAACACCCGUGGCGAAAGCGGCUCUCUGGGACGGUACUGACGCUGAGACGCGAAAGCGUGGGGAGCAAACAGG
rnacentral:rRNA from 1 species